rnacentral:rRNA from 1 species
UACGAAGGGGGCUAGCGUUGCUCGGAAUCACUGGGCGUAAAGCGCACGUAGGCGGAUUGCUAAGUCAGGGGUGAAAUCCUGGAGCUCAACUCCAGAACUGCCUUUGAUACUGGCAACCUUGAGUCCGGGAGAGGUGAGUGGAACUGCGAGUGUAGAGGUGAAAUUCGUAGAUAUUCGGAAGAACACCAGUGGCGAAGGCGGCUCACUGGACCGGUAUUGACGCUGAGGUGGCGAAAACGUGGGGAGCAAACAGG